rnacentral:lncRNA from 1 species
UUUAUAUUUAUAAUAAACUUAAAAAUAGAACAUAUAGCAAACACUAUUAUAUGCAAUGCCUUUUCAAUAGGCAAUGAAGCUAAUUUUCUAAUUUGGUUAUAUUAUUUUACUACCAGAUUCAUUAAUCAGUUAUUUGGUGUUUAACUAGUUUUCUGGCACUUUUGGCUAUUUCGUAACGGUCGGUUUUUAUUGAAACCGGAGUGCCCGGAGUGAUCCGCAGUCCUUUUUGCAUCAACAAUGACAUACUAGUUAACUAAGAUUGCAUUUGAACGCAACUGCAAUGUACGAGUGGAGUUCAAACGCACAAUCUCAAUAAUACUGUAGAUACCCUUCCUAAGCCUCUUAGAAAAAAGGCCCUACAAUUGUAUCAGAACUAUUUUAACUGUUAAAUAACAUAAUACAAACGAAAAUAUGUGAAGUACCCAUCAUUAGCAUGUUCGUUUUCAAUGCAGCAUGCGCAUAAUCGGAAAACCAAAUUCUUCACUAAGUGUUCAUGAAAUUGGUGUCACUUCUCUGUACAUGUUAUGUUUAGAAGUAUUUCUUGUCCUUUUUUAGCACCGACUACUCAUCUUUUGUGGGCUACGGGAUUUGCUUUUCAGUAAAUAAUUCUUUCGACUGUAAUUUUUAAAACAAAUAUCGCCCAAUUACACACCGGGAUUAUAAAAAAUGUUUUAUGUUUUCUCUUUCACAUAUUCACAAUUUUGAAUUGAAACAAUUUCUUUUUGUACUUCCCUACUGAAAGGUUAAUUGUUCUCAAGUUUCAAAAAGGUCACUGAAAAAAGAGCAUGCUCACCGACAAAAGAUGAAUGGACG